rnacentral:rRNA from 1 species
ACUUGUGCCCAUGCCACCCUGAACACGCCUGCUCAGGGUCGGGCCUGGUUAGUGUCGAGAUGGGAAACCACCUGGGAAUACCAGGUGCCGUAAGCU